AGCAGUCGCCGCGGGAAUACGGAGGGAGCUAGCGUUGUUCGGAAUUACUGGGCGUAAAGCGCACGUAGGCGGCUUUGUAAGUUAGAGGUGAAAGCCUGGAGCUCAACUCCAGAAUUGCCUUUAAGACUGCAUCGCUUGAAUCCAGGAGAGGUGAGUGGAAUUCCGAGUGUAGAGGUGAAAUUCGUAGAUAUUCGGAAGAACACCAGUGGCGAAGGCGGCUCACUGGACUGGUAUUGACGCUGAGGUGCGAAAGCGUGGGGAGCAAACAGGAUUAGAUACCCCAGUAGUCCCUGUCUCUUAUAA
rnacentral:rRNA from 1 species